rnacentral:rRNA from 1 species
CCUACGGGAGGCAGCAGUAGGGAAUCUUCCACAAUGGGCGCAAGCCUGAUGGAGCAACGCCGCGUGGGUGAAGAAGGUCCUCGGAUCGUAAAACCCUGUUGUUAGAGAAGAAAGGGCGUGAGAGUAACUGUUCACGUUUCGACGGUAUCUAACCAGAAAGCCACGGCUAAUUACGUGCCAGCAGCCGCGGUAAUACGUAGGUGGCAAGCGUUAUCCGGUUUUAUUGGGCGGAAAGGGAACGCAGGGGGAAGGUCAGGUCAGUGGUAAAAUUGGGAGGCUCAACCUCGGCGAGCCGUUGAUACUGGUUUUCUUGAGUGAGCGAGAAGUAUGCGGAAUGCGUGGUGUAGCGGUGAAAUGCAUAGAUAUCACGCAGAACUCCGAUUGCGAAGGCAGCAUACCGGCGCUCAACUGACGCUGAUGCACGAAAGUGUGGGUAUCGAACAGGAUUAGAUACCCCGGUAGUC